CCCAUAUUUACUGUUAACUGAUUUCGUCAAGAACAUGCAGAAAUCAUUUGCAACUGGACGGUAAGCAACACACAAUCAAUUUAAGGAAAUAUGAUUGAUUACUCAAUUAGUACUAGCUUAACAUUUGGUGGCAAUUAUUUCAUGAAAUAAAGAUUUGUUGGAUAUAGGCAGAAAUUUGGACUCAAAGAGGUUUCCGAUGUUUCUUUAUCGAUAUAUUCUGAUACUCUCCUUUACAGAAAUGCGUAAUUAAACAUUCCAUUCAGCCGAAAAUUGGCAUAGAUGGUUUUAAUUAGGUAUUACUACAUAACACAAGAUUUAAUGACAAAGAUUAAUUGAUGCCAUAAACACACGAAGGGCACAAUUUUGGAACUAAUCCAAUAGUUUUCGACAAGUAUGAAAGGCGGUGUAUUCAGUGAGUUUGAAAACGCAUUAAACAAUGACAUGUUACAGAGUCAAAAGAAGUGAUUCAAAUUAGAUAUAUUGAUCCCCGAAACCGUUUUAAUAUUAAACUGCAGAAAGUGUGUCAUUUUCCUCAGGGGUCAAUAUAUUCUGCGUCCAAAAUCUGGUUGGACGUGGAUGCGUAUUUAUACAUCCUACAAAACCGAACAUACCAUUAAAGCCAAAUAUAAGCGCUUCAACAUGUUAAACGGAGAGAUUUGAACCGAUUCUACCUUUGUUAGAAAGGGUCCUUCCUUGCAAAACCUGCUCCAUUCAGUAACCAAAAGACAUCCUGUGCUUAGCUAUAACUUGACAUUAUAUUCAUGUUCCCUCUAGUUCAUAAAAAUAAAGCUGUGUUCAUGAUAAAUCUUUAAUUAAACAAGAUCACUACAAUAGGCAGAGAAACCGUUGUCUGAAGUGUAAGCUCAUAAAUGAUCGAUUGUUUCAUUAUUGUUUGCUUUACGUUCAGUGGCAAAUAUUUUAUUCAUUUUCAAGACGAGAAAUUACUGAGAAUGCAUUUAUUUAAGUACUGAAGAACGAGAAAAUUCAAAUUCAUAUUGUAAAACAACAUCGCUGAUGUGUUUCUACUUUAGGAAUUUUGACAAGUUUUCUCCAACUACCUCUACCAUUUUAGAGCUGUGGGUAAACAAAAGAUCUGAACAGGAAACAUGUAAUUCGUAUCUUCUCUGUACAAAAAAAAACAAAUGCUUUAUAAAGUUUAUGGCAAUUAGGACCAGGGGUGUUUAAACAUUUGGAUAACUGCAGCUGGGAUUUCGAAAACGCCUCUAUUCAUAUAUUGAAGUUAUUUAUUUAAAAGCAAACACAGCAUAUUCAAAAAUAUCUAAUCGAAAGAUCAAAAUUGUUGACCAGUUUACUUUUACCGUGUUAAAACUACAAUCCAUUGAUAUAUGAGACAUACGAAACAGGGAUCCAGCGACACGUCUGUGUAAACCUUAUAAAGGAGGAGCCCAAAAACCCGUGAUUAGUGUAAUGUAGCCUAUGAAUAGAUUUGUCUUUUGUCUUGCGCAUGAUUUAAAGGUAGCAUGAAACAGAUAUAUCUUCCCACUGUUAGACUAUAUAAUAAUAGAUGAUGGAACUGUAUUUUAAUAUUUUACCUUCAUAUAUCAAUUUAUAUUGUGUGGUCUGAUAUUUCGAAGCUUGAUAUAAAAGUUAAAUGAGUUUUCAAUCUUGUAAGUGAAAAAAAAAACAUAAAUCAAUAACAUCUGAGAGAAAUUUUGAGGUCGUGAAAAGUUACUUAAAUUAUUUAGUUUGCAAAACAUAAGAAAGGUUACAACAUUCAGUCACUCUUAGUGGUAAACAUUAAGCAAUCGAUUGUUGAAAUAACCAAUUUGAUACUUGCUUAUUUAUUUCAGAAAAUAAACCAAGCAAAGAAGACGUUCAGGAUCAGACUUCUGUUAAAACCAACCUUCCGGUUUCUGUCAAUUUGCGUAAACAGUUGAAUAUAAAACAGUCAACGAAUGAAAAUCUGGUCAUUACUAGCUGUAUCAAAACAGGCAAUACAUUAGUGUUUACUGACUGUAACAAUAGAGACUUAUUAUUUGUAAUUCAGACGGUACUGAUAUCGAUCACAUUCCUCUGUCCUAUAAACCAGGUAUAUAACAGAGAUAGAUAGUAACACUGUAGCAGUAUCCUGUUUAUAUGACAGUACCAUACUGAUAAUAAAUAUAUCUACACGUUCUAUCACCAGUACAAUCAACACCAGUGGUGACUGCGACGGAAUAUCAUAUAAUGAUAAUAACCUGUACGUUGUUAUUUGGGAGUAUAAUACAUGUGAUGGACCUGACAGGUAAAGUAAUACGUACUAUACCGGUACCUACAGACCGUAUAUCCGACGACAUUACAGUAGACAGAGACAGGUUGGUCUGUAUAGACCAGAACAUCAAUAUACUGCUGCUCGUUAGAUGGAAAGUUAAUGUGGGAGUUUAAAAUAAUGAUGAAUUUCAAGAUUUAAUUGUGUAACAACAGAUAAUGAGGGGAAUGUCUAUGUGACUAAUGAGAGUACACACACUGUAAUAGUUGUAUCUGAUGAUGGUAAACAUCAUAGAGAACUUCUUACUGAAUCUGAUGGAUUGGAUAACCCGUGUGGAAUUUAUUAUAGACAAAAAAGAAAAUAUUCUGCUUGUUUGUAAUAAAGUAACGGAAAAGCUUUUCUUUUUGACGUGAAAAAGAACAAAAAUAAGCAUGAAUAAUUCUUUCAGACAAUGAGUUUAUUCGGACUCGGAUCUGUUUAUGCAUUUAGUCAUUCAAAAUAUCUUCUAUUUAUUAGUGUUUUC
rnacentral:lncRNA from 1 species